rnacentral:pre_miRNA from 1 species
GGCUUCACUUUGGAGCUCUUCUUCACUUCAAUCUUGAAAGGAGGUGAUGGUUUACCACGGCUGCUAGUUCAUGAAUACCUCUGGGGGUGCGUAUGAUACCAAUGAGUGCGCAUUCUAAGGGUUUGCAUGAGUUAGGAGACGAGGUUGCCUCGAUCUUUUUGGUAUUGGAGUGAAGGGAGCUCCAAAUUGGUAUUAG